UUUUCUUCGAUUUUAUUUAUCAGAUGUUUAAAUUGGGUCAUUUUCAGUUUCAUGAAAAAUAAAAAUACACUGCUGGAGGAAGAGUGGAAUCUUGGAGAGCACGCACACAUUCACCAAACUGCAACAACACUACAUCUAGACUUGAAUAUGUCAUCGUGUGCACAAUGCCAUCAAAAUAACCUGGAGAAGUCUCUGUGUGCAGGAACAAACCUGCAGGCCUGUGAUCUUCAGACCCUCGGACAGCAAAGCAUUAAGCACAGGCGUGAUUCUGUGAUGGAGAUCAGUCCAUGCACCUCCAGGACUCGCUGCCUGUCACGACCCGUCUGAUGAAAAGCUCUGUUAUCAGAUCGGGUCUUAAGGAGCCAGAGCUGGGAAAUCCAGGGCAGCAAGAAGUUAGGGGUGCCAGAGGGGAUCGGUAGGGUUCCCGGGGUUAGGAGAAUGUCAGGUGAGUGCUGUGUGGAAGGUGAAGGUGAUUGGAUGAUGCAGAGGUCGAUGUUCUGCCACACCUGAAACUGCUCCUGAACUAUGACUGAGGUUAAGAAGAGAGGGAGGCUGGAGCAGGUCUGGCAGUGACGUCCACACCUGCAGCUGAGCCCAAAGGCAGAAUCUGAGGAUUUGAUUUUAGUCUGAAAAUUCCCUCAAACUGUGAAAAAUGAUCCGACACAAAGUGAAAGUCACGGCGGUGAACCCAGGUGAGUUUCUGGAAGUCUCGUCCUGCAGCGUUUACUCGCCUCCGCUGAUAUUCAGCCCACGCAGCUCUCUCUCCUCAGCCUGAAGCUCGCCCCUCCCUCACUCUCCUCCUCCUCUUCCUCAGUGGGCUGCGGUCACGAUGCCUCGCCGACACAUCGCUCCAGCUCGUUUCAUUCAGGGCCGAGCGAGUGUUUCGUGGCACAAAGAAAUCAUCGGUGCCUGUCGAUGAAUUUAACACGUUUGUUUAAUCUGAAUCCUGCAGCAUUCAAACUUUAUUCAAAAACACAGCAGCAGCUUACACCCACACCCCACAGUUUCAGUCGGUCACAUGGUGAUCAUGUGUAAGUGCUGAGGAGUUCUCAUGCAUUAUGAGACAGAGCCAGAGACUGUAUAUAAAAGAUGGCGUCACCUCGUCCCAUUGUGAAGUGUUUUGACCAAAAUACUUUUAAAACUGAUUGUGAGAAACUGAAUGAUGCUGAUGAGCCUGAAUUAUUC
ensembl:lncRNA